rnacentral:rRNA from 1 species
GAUGAACGCUGGCGGCGUGCCUAAUACAUGCAAGUCGAGCGAACGGACGAGAAGCUUGCUUUUCUGAUGUUAGCGGCGGACGGGUGAGUAACACGUGGAUAACCUACCUAUAAGACUGGGAUAACUUCGGGAAACCGGAGCUAAUACCGGAUAAUAUUUUGAACCGCAUGGUUCAAAAGUGAAAGACGGUCUUGCUGUCACUUAUAGAUGGAUCCGCGCUGCAUUAGCUAGUUGGUAAGGUAACGGCUUACCAAGGCAACGAUGCAUAGCCGACCUGAGAGGGUGAUCGACCACACUGGAACUGAGACAUGGUCCAGACUCCUACGGGAGGCAGCAGUAGGGAAUCUUCCGCAAAGGGCGAAAGCCUGACGGAGCAACGCCGCGUGAGUGAUGAAGGUCUUCGGAUCGUAAAACUCUGUUAUUAGGGAAGAACAUAUGUGUAAGUAACUGUGAACAUCUUGACGGUACCUAAUCAGAAAGCCACGGCUAACUACGUG